rnacentral:rRNA from 1 species
UAGGGAAUAUUAGUAAUGGGCGAAAGCCUGAACUAGCAACGCCGCGUGUGCGAAGAAGGCCUUCGGGUUGUAAAACACUUUUUGAGGGGAUGAGGAAGGACAGUACCCUCAGAAUAAGCCUCGGCUAACUACGUGCCAGCAGCCGCGGUAAAACGUAGGAGGCGAGCGUUAUCCGGAUUUACUGGGCGUAAAGCGCGUGCAGGCGGCACGGCAAGUUGGAUGUGAAAGCUCCCGGCUUAACUGGGAGAGGUCGUUCAAAACUGCCGAGCUAGAGUGCGGGAGAGGGAGGUGGAAUUCCGGGUGUAGUGGUGAAAUGCGUAGAUAUCCGGAGGAACACCAGUGGCGAAAGCGGCCUCCUGGUCCGCAACUGACGCUCAGACGCGAAAGCUAGGGUAGCAAACGG